ensembl:lncRNA
AAAUGAGGUAAUAAAUGUCACCAUUUUAUUACAAUGACAGGUGUAUUUAUAAUCAUGUAGAGGUUUUUUCCUAAGUCAUACUCAUUAAAAAAAAGAAAAUAUGUUCCGGUACAAUAUCGGGAUACAUAUCGUAUCCAGACUCUUGACCAAUACACACUCCUAAUUUUUACAGCUUUGGAGCUGAAAAUAUAAACAAUACAUUUUUGAAAUGAAAACAGAAAUCUCUCACUGGAUUAACCAACAUUUGUAAACUCUCAACAUUUAAUCAUUAACAUCAUCAUCAUCCUCAUGGUCAGAGUGACAGCAGUCAGUCUUUGUGAUCCAGAUGCUCUACUGUGAACUUUGGGGUUCAGACCUCAGAUCACUGACAGACUGAGGGCAGCAUGAAGCUCCAUGGAGCUCCACCUUCUCUCCUCCAGCUGCAGAUGAAAGAAAGAGGUCUGAGAGAGACUGAUGAGGAGGACUGUUUCAUGUUGAAGAUGAAGCUCUGAUGAAGAGAGAAAUGUCCAACUGGAACUCCAUCACAGCCUGAGUUCAUCAUAGAUCACCUGUUUCUGUCUUUGUUUUCACAGAAUUUCAGGAUGUGGAAUCUCAGAAACUGACUGUGAAAUUGUGGCCUCAGCUCUGAAGUCCAACCAGUCCCACCUGACAGAAAUGUACAUGCUCAACAACAUCCUGGAGGGCUCAUCCAUGGAGGUUCUGUGUUCUGGAGUGGAGAGUCCAAACUGCAGACUGCAGAAUCUGAGGUCAGAACAUUGAAGCUGCUGGUUGUGGGGCUGCAGAUUGUCAAAGACCAGCUGUGCUGCUCUGGCCUCAGCUCUGAAGUCCAACCCGUCCCACCUGACCGAACUGGACCUGAGCUACAACUACCUUCAGUCUUCAGAUGUUCAGCAGCUCCAGGAUCUGGUGGAGAGUCCAAACUCCAAACUGCAGACUCUGAGGUCAGUAGAGGGUUGGAGUCAGUCCAGCUGCUUCCAGAUGUUUGGUUAUAUAGUUAGUCUGAGAGCAAAAAUGCAGAGUUUCCUGUGAAGCUGCAGCUUCUCAGUGAAGCUCUGAGGAGAAUGAUGACAGGCUUCAGGACAACAGUCAGCCAAUCAGAGCAGCAGAAUCUCCAACAGGUGAAGAUGACAGGAAGCUGCUGCUCUGAACAGGACUGAAGCUCCUGCUGCUCUUUCUGCUGCUGUGCUGCAUCACUGACUGACAGACCAGGAUCAGGAGACACUCCUUCAUCUCUGUCUCUCUACUUUCUCUCUGCAGGUGGGAGGAAAGGAGCCUGUGGGUCUGAAGUUCCUCCUGGAGGAGCAGAGAGGAGCAGCAGCAGCAGCUGGUCUGCAGAGAUAUUGUGACUGGCCGGUGUUCCUGGGAGGUGGAGAGCAGAGUGAUGGAGGAAUCAGAGGAAGUGGAGAUGAGUGUCAGAGCUGCAGCAGGAACUGAUCUGAGAUCAGCUCCACUGUCUCUCUCAGCAUCAAGUGGACAGUUAUUGUGCUGCAGCUCCCCCAGUGGACUGAUGGAGAACUGCACUUCCUCUUCUCAUUCUAACUUGGAGUGUUGAUCUGAAACAUGGGUUGGAUUCAGAUGUUCAGCAGCUCCAGGAUCUGGAGAAAAACAGACCUGCAGACAAACAGAUUCUUUUGUGUGGUUGAACCUCAAACCACCACAUAAGUGUUAGUAUUUCUUUAUUUGUCUUUAAAUUAAAACAUUCAUUUUUACUUUGUUUACCUAAAAUAAUUCAACAAUGGGUGCACAUAUUUGAUUAAUGUGUUUUAAGUGAGAAAAAUAGUUUAUUCACUUUUGUUUGUUUUCUGAGUUUCCAUCCUAGGUGAGCCCAACCAUAGUAAUCAGCAGAGGAGAUUGGGAAAAUCCAUUGCAGGGAUUACAACUCUCCUCAUGGACUUUGUUUGUUCUUAUUUAAAGGAAAUAAUUCAGUUCACUUUUUGUUAAAGACUACCUUUGUUUUAUAUUCAUUUUGUUUCCAGACUCAGCCAAUGUCAGUGCAUUGGCUGAGUCUGGGGGGUAUUCCAGAAAGCAUGUUUAAAGUACCCAGACUUUAACCCUGAACUCUGGCUGAAAUCCGCCUGAACUUGCUUACUUUGGGUGUGUUGUUUCCAAAAGACCAGAUAUGAGUUGGCGUAAUUACGUUCGACUUGGUAACCCUGGGUUAACGCAUGUGCACAGCAGGUACAUAAAGACAUUCUCAAUAGAUAGCCGAUUUCCGGAGUCUCCAUGGAAACGUGUGGAGAACCUAAGAGAGCGCAAUACUUCAGUGAGAUGGAGUCUGAGAUUUUAAUGACAGCUAUGAAGAUUAUACGCCCAUUAAAAAAGUAAUACAGCUGCAUCAGAAAAAGAAAGUUUCUGCGUGUAGUAGAAGAACAGACAAAGUAAACCAUGAGUUUCUGAUCUUAUUUCCAUUUUCCUUGUGAUGCAUAUAUAUAUAUAUAUAACUUAUCCAAUUUUGCCCAUUUAAAUAAAUUACUUCUAUUGGUAACAAAUAAUUGAGUUAAAUUUAUUCAACCUAAUUUCUUACAUCUAUAAAACUUAAUUAGUGUUUAUACAACUCAAAUUUACAUACUUAUCUAACUAAAUGUCAUAUUACUCCAAUUCAAUUAAUCUUUUUUCCAUCUUAAUUUAUUAUAAUUCUUCGACUCUCAUAUGUUUAAGUUUAAGCAGAUAUACUCAUUUUUAUAACAAUAAAAAUAAAAAAACAAUAGUUCUUAGCGAGUACACAUCUACCAAUUUUCUAACAAUGACAUUUCAGUUCUAGUAGGGGUGCUAUAUAAACUCAUCAUGCUCUCCCUCCCUCUCUUUCAUGGUGCAGAGGCUUAAAUAUAGUAGGACAAAAUAACUCGGCAAAACACAGUAAAACAGCUAAAACAGCUAAACAACUAAACAUAUUUUGUCUAAAACCCACACUUAAACCCAAAUCCGUCCAGACAGGCAAAGGGAAUGAUAUCCCAGAAUCCCUUGCGGUGCCGAUCUAACAGCAGCACCAAAGUUACAGCUACUUAAUUGAAUUAAUUUGAAUGAAAGGAAAACAAUUGUCUGAAAACUACGUGUUAUUUUUACGGUGACCUAACAAAAAAAUUAUUUAUCUUAACUGAAGCAUAUAAUUAAGUUAGAUCAAAGUAAAAAAGUUUAUCUUUCCAACAUCCAUACGUGGUCUUAUCACCCUCUCACUGUGGAAAAAGUAUUAUCUGAGCUUCUUCUUCCACUAAAU